AGUGAACGCUGGCGGUAGGCCUAACACAUGCAAGUCGAACGGCAGCACAGGAGAGCUUGCUCUCUGGGUGGCGAGUGGCGGACGGGUGAGGAAUACAUCGGAAUCUACUCUGUCGUGGGGGAUAACGUAGGGAAACUUACGCUAAUACCGCAUACGACCUACGGGUGAAAGCAGGGGACCUUCGGGCCUUGCGCGAUUGAAUGAGCCGAUGUCGGAUUAGCUAGUUGGCGGGGUAAAGGCCCACCAAGGCGACGAUCCGUAGCUGGUCUGAUAGGAUGAUCAGCCACACUGGAACUGAGACACGGUCCAGACUCCUACGGGAAGCAGCAUUGGGGAAUAUUGGACAAUGGGCGCAAGCCUGAACCAGCCAUACCGCGUGGGUGAAGAAGGCCUUCGGGUUGUAAAGCCCUUUUGUUGGGAAAGAAAUCCAGCUGGCUAAUACCCGGUUGGGAUGACGGUACCCAAAGAAUAAGCACCGGCUAACUUCGUGCCAGCCGCCGCCGUAA
rnacentral:rRNA from 1 species